rnacentral:rRNA from 1 species
AGAGUUUGAUCAUGGCUCAGGAUGAACGCUGGCGGCGUGCCUAACACAUGCAAGUCGAACGGUCGCAAGACAGUGGCGCACGGGUGAGUAACACGUAGCUGAUCUGCCCUCAAGUGCGGGAUAACGUCUGGAAACAGACGCUAAUACCGCAUAAGCCCCCGCGACUUAGAACGGCGGGUGAAAAGGUUUACCGCUUGAGGAGGAGGCUGCGGCCCAUCAGGUAGUUGGCGGGGUAACGGCCCACCAAGCCGACGACGGGUAGGGGGUCUGAGAGGAUGAUCCCCCACACUGGGACUGAGACACGGCCCAGACUCCUACGGGAGGCAGCAGUGAGGGAUAUUGCACAAUGGGCGCAAGCCUGAUGCAGCGACGCCGCGUGGGUGAUGAAGGUCUUCGGAUCGUAAAACCCUUUUCCCCGUGACGAGACAGGACGGUAGCGGGGGAAUAAGCCUCGGCUAACUACGUGCCAGCCGCCGCGGUAAUUC